rnacentral:rRNA from 1 species
CAAUAGCGUAUAUUAAAGUUGUUGCAGUUAAAAAGCUCGUAGUUGGAUUUGUGGUGUGUCCAGUCGGCCUUUGCUCUCCGAGUGAUUGUGCUGUACUGGUCUGCCAUGUUUGGGUGGAAUCUGUGUGGCAUUAAGUUGUCGUGCAGGGGAUGCCCAUCGUUUACUGUGAAAAAUUAGAGUGUUCAAAGCAGGCUUAUGCCGUUGAAUAUAUUAGCAUGGAAUAAUGAUAUAGGACCUUGGUACUAUUUUGUUGGUUUGCGCACUAAGGUAAUGAUUAAGAGGGACAGUUGGGGGUAUUUGUAUUCCAUUGUCAGAGGUGAAAUUCUUAGAUUUUUGGAAGACAAACUACUGCGAAAGCAUUUACCAAGGAUGUUUUCAUUAA